rnacentral:rRNA from 1 species
GACGAACGCUGGCGGCGUGCUUAACACAUGCAAGUCGAACGAUGAAGCCUAGCUUGCUAGGUGGAUUAGUGGCGAACGGGUGAGUAAUACGUGAGUAACCUACCUUUAACUCUGGGAUAAGCCUGGGAAACUGGGUCUAAUACCGGAUACGACCAAUCUCCGCACGGGGUGUUGGUGGAAAGCGUUCUGUGGUGGUUAUAGAUGGGCUCACGGCCUAUCAGCUUGUUGGUGGGGUAACGGCUCACCAAGGCGACGACGGGUAGCCGGCCUGAGAGGGUGACCGGCCACACUGGGACUGAGACACGGCCCAGACUCCUACGGGAGGCAGCAGUGGGGAAUAUUGCACAAUGGGCGCAAGCCUGAUGCAGCGACGCCGCGUGAGGGAUGACGGCCUUCGGGUUGUAAACCUCUGUUAGCAGGGAAGAAGAGAAAUUGACGGUACCUGCAGAGAAAGCGCCGGCUAACUACGUG